GGGGGAAUAUUGGACAAUGGGGGCAACCCUGAUCCAGCAAUGCCGCGUGAAUGAUGAAGGCCUUAGGGUUGUAAAGUUCUUUUAUUGAUGACGAUAAUGACGGUAAUCAAUGAAUAAGCACCGGCUAACUUCGUGCCAGCAGCCGCGGUAAUACGAAGGGUGCUAGCGUUGUUCGGAAUGACUGGGCGUAAAGGGUGCGUAGGCGGCCAGAAGCGUCUGAUGUGAAAUCCCUGGGCUUAACCUAGGAACU
rnacentral:rRNA from 1 species